rnacentral:rRNA from 1 species
ACAGGGGGUGCAAACGUUGCUCGGAAUUAUUGGGCGUAAAGCGCGCGUAGGCGGCCGCUUAAGUCGGAUGUGAAAGCCCCUGGCUCAACUGGGGAAGUGCACCCGAAACUGAGUGGCUUGAGUACUAAAGAGGGUCGCGGAAUUCCCGGUGUAGAGGUGAAAUUCGUAGAUAUCGGGAGGAACACCGGUGGCGAAGGCGGCGACCUGGGUAGAUACUGACGCUGAGGCGCGAAAGCGUGGGGAGCAAACAGG